rnacentral:lncRNA from 1 species
UAGAAAGUAGAAACUCGAUUUCUACCUUGGGCGAUUUCGCAAAAUACAGUAGCAGCGGAAGGCAAGCAGCAUCGGAAAUCCUUGGGCGAUUUCACGAUUUCAGACUUCAGUAGCAGCGGAAGGCGGAAGCAGGCAAGCCUUAAGUUUAUGAUUUCACGAUUUUAGUAGUAUUUGGGGUUUAGGGUUUUUUAUUUAAUUGGGUAUUUUUUAUAAGGUCCUUAAGUUUUAAAAAAAUAAUAGAAUUCAUUUAAACUUUUUCAAUUUUAAUAUUUUCACCUUGGGUAAAUGGAUCGGGUUUAGCCGGAUCC